CAGGGCGGGCAAGGGAUUGAAGAGCAAAUGAGGCAAGUGACCAACCAGUACACAGGAUCACGUGACACAAAGCAAGGCAAAGCACUUCCCAGAAUGACUGUGACCAGAAUGGCUGGGCACAGAAUUGAGGAUAUGAAAGGCAUGUGGGGUUUCAUAAAUUGCCCUUCAGCCAGUUCAGAUGGCACCUGCUCAAUAGCCAUGCCUGAUUCCUGGAGAUCGGACUUAAUUCUUUCCACACAAUGCUACUGUUCUAGUAACAAUCAGGGCUCUUUUCAGUUGCAAGUGGCCCACUUUUUAAAAAUAUCCAAGGUAAAAAGGCUUCAGGCAGAGAUGGAAGCAGAUGUUCAACGAUGUCAUCAGGGCCCGGACUCCUUCAGUUACUGGCCUCCAGACCAGCCUCCCACUAAGCAGAACCAUUAUGGAGUCUGUUUAUAACAGCGCCAUUAAAAAUGAAGAGCUGUCAAGAA